CUGAUUGAACGUGCUUGCACGGACUUGACGUUGGUUUACCAGCGAGUGGCGGACGGGUGAGUAACACGUAGGUAACCUGCCCCAAAGCGGGGGAUAACAUUUGGAAACAGAUGCUAAUACCGCAUAACAAUUUGAAUCGCAUGAUUCAAAUUUAAAAGAUGGCUUCGGCUAUCACUUUGGGAUGGACCUGCGGCGCAUUAGCUUGUUGGUAGGGUAACGGCCUACCAAGGCUGUGAUGCGUAGCCGAGUUGAGAGACUGAUCGGCCACAAUGGAACUGAGACACGGUCCAUACUCCUACGGGAGGCAGCAGUAGGGAAUCUUCCACAAUGGGCGCAAGCCUGAUGGAGCAACACCGCGUGAGUGAAGAAGGGUUUCGGCUCGUAAAGCUCUGUUGUUAGAGAAGAACGUGCGUGAGAGCAACUGUUCACGCAGUGACGGUAUCUAACCAGAAAGUCACGGCUAACUACGUGCCAGCAGCCGCGGUAAUACGUAGGUGGCAAGCGUUAUCCGGAUUUAUUGGGCGUAAAGCGAGCGCAGGCGGUUUGAUAAGUCUGAUGUGAAAGCCUUUGGCUUAACCAAAGAAGUGCAUCGGAAACUGUCAGACUUGAGUGCAGAAGAGGACAGUGGAACUCCAUGGGUUAG
rnacentral:rRNA from 1 species